AGUGAACGCUGGCGGUAGGCCUAACACAUGCAAGUCGAACGGCAGCACAGUAAGAGCUUGCUCUUACGGGUGGCGAGUGGCGGACGGGUGAGGAAUACAUCGGAAUCUACUUUUUCGUGGGGGAUCACGUAGGGAAACUUACGCUAAUACCGCAUACGACCUACGGGUGAAAGCAGGGGAUCUUCGGACCUUGCGCGAUUGAAUGAGCCGAUGUCGGAUUAGCUGGUUGGCGGGGUAAAGGCCCACCAAGUCGGCGAUCCGUAGCUGGUCUGAGAGGAGGAUCGGCCACACUGGAACGGAGACACGGUCCAUACUCCUACGGGAGGCAGCAGUGGGGAAUAUUGGACAAUGGGCGCAAGCCUGAUCCAGCCAUACCGCGUGGGUGAAGAAGGCCUUCGGGUUGUAAAGCCCUUUUGUGGGGAAAGAAAAGCAGCAGGUUAAUACCCCGCUGUACCGACGGUACCCAAUGAAGAAGCACCGGCUAACUUCGUG
rnacentral:rRNA from 1 species